AACAAACCAAUCUAGCAUAGCUGCACGUAUGACUGUAGUUAAACGUGAGUGAACAAACAGCGCCGGGAGAUAAAACACAAACUCUACCACUAAACGUGGAUCAUCCUCAUUCGCAUGGAGGUGGUUUGACUUGGAAAACACUGGUGUCACUCCAAAGACGCCAAUCUGAUCUGCAAACUAUGUUGGAAAGCGGUUAUCGUCAAAGACUCGACACCGAAUUUGUUUCACCAUCUGUGAAUUAACCACCGCACAGAACGUGAAGAAUAUGAAGAAUAUGAAAAGCCACGGCCGGCCAGCUAAGAGUGCGUCAACAGACGGACCAGAAGUAUAUUAUCGUCCUCACAGAAAAACAAGUUUUCACAUAUGGAAGACAAGGAACACCAGAUGGCAGAAGGAACAAAGCCAGUUUUGGUUGGUGCGGUUUGCCAUGUGCUCUGGGUGGAGCCAAUGCAAGGGGAAAAAAGACUGCAACCAGCCUCCACACAAAGGAAGAGGCGGAGUCUUGCCUGUUUCCAUGCACGCGUCUCUUGAAGCACGCAGGCCAGCUGCAGCAGGAACAGUGAGCAAAUGUCAACGUAGCCAUGGCUGUCUGGUUGGAGCAGAUUCAGAGGCCACACAUCAACAAAGGGGCUCAUCAGGCUUUUCUGAUCUGAAACCUUUUUUCCCAAAACGUCCUCUCGGCUGAACUGGUUGAAGUCUUUGCUUUCCCCAGAAACCCGCACACUGGGGAAAAAGGGGGACCGCUGCUCUCUGGGAUCUUUGGUUAUACAGACUGUAUCCAAACCAGAGCCGAUG